ACAGCAGUCGCCGCGGUAAUACGGAGGGUGCAAGCGUUAAUCGGAAUUACUGGGCGUAAAGCGUGCGUAGGCGGCUUUUUAAGUCGGAUGUGAAAUCCCUGAGCUUAACUUAGGAAUUGCAUUCGAUACUGGGAAGCUAGAGUAUGGGAGAGGAUGGUAGAAUUCCAGGUGUAGCGGUGAAAUGCGUAGAGAUCUGGAGGAAUACCGAUGGCGAAGGCAGCCAUCUGGCCUAAUACUGACGCUGAGGUACGAAAGCAUGGGGAGCAAACAGGAUUAGAUACCCCGGUAGUCCCUGUCUCUUAUAC
rnacentral:rRNA from 1 species